rnacentral:rRNA from 1 species
AGCAGCCGCGGUAAUUCCAGCUCCAAUAGCGUAUAUUAAAGUUGUUGCAGUUAAAAAGCUCGUAGUUGAAUUUCGGGAUUUGUCAGUUGGUCGGGCUUCACUGUCCGUACUGACUUGAUGGAUUCUUACCUUCUGAAUAACCAGCAUGCUAUUUAGUUAGUACGUUGGGGAAGCAGAUCUAUUACCUUGAAAAAAUUAGAGUGCUUAAAGCGGGCUAGUGCUUGAAUAGAUUAGCAUGGAAUAAUAAAAUAGGACGGCAUGAUUCUAUUUUGUUGGUUUCUAGGAUCACCGUAAUGAUUAAUAGGGAUAGUUGGGGGCAUUAGUAUUCAAUUGUCAGAGGUGAAAUUCUUGGAUUUAUUGAAGACUAACUUCUGCGAAAGCAUUUGCCAAGGAUGUUUUCAUUAAUCAAGAACGAAAGUUAGGGGAUCGAAGACGAUCAGAUACCGUCGUAGUCUUAACCAUAAACUAUGCCGACUAGGAAUCGGACGAAGUUAAUUUUAUAAUGACUCG